UGACAUCUUGACCAUGUUCUGUUAUAAUAUCCACCCGGCACAGCCAGAAGAGGACUGGCCACCCCUCAUAGCCUGGUUCCUCUCUAGGUUUCUUCCUAGGUUUUUGGCCUUUCUAGGGAGUUUUUCCUAGCCACCGUGCUUCUUUCACAUGUAUUGCUUGAUGUUUGGGGUUUUAGGCUGGGUUUCUGUAGAGCACUUUGAGAUUUCAGCUGAUGUACGAAGGGCUAUAUGAAUACAUUUGAUUUUGAUUUGACAUGGGAUGUAAUAAAGUCUUUGUUCAUCUUCAAAACAGCGUUGAAGGAAACUAACAAGAUUAUAGAGAUCAACCAUUACCUGCUGGGGACCAUGUCUGGUAGUGCUGCUGACUGCCAGUACUGGGAGAGACUGCUGGCUAAGGAGUGCAGGCUGUACAAACUGAGGAACAAGCAGAGGAUCAGUGUCUGCAGCCUCUAAGCUGCUGUGUAACAUGAUGCUGGGAUACAGAGUCAUGGGCCUCUCCAUGGGCAGCAUGAUCGUUGGCUGGGACAACAAGGUACAGGGUGGGAGGGAGUAGAGUUUGUAUAUGUGUGUGGGGUGGUAUGUGUUUAUUUGAAAGGAUGAUUUUAUAGCUUACAUUUUCAUCCUGAUGGUACCCACAAUUCGGUUACUGGCCCAACGCUCUUAACCGCUAGGCUACCUGCCACCACAAUUUUUCACACAGGUUAUCAAAAUAUUUAUUACUUCUUAAGCCCAUAUACAAAAUUAUAUUGUUCCACUUCCAAUACCUGUUUAGAGCAUAUCUUACUGCAAACAUUAUUAAAAGGCCCAGUAUGACACUGAUUCAAAUUGUGGACUUUGAGAAGUGUAAGAACAUUACAGAACGCAUGAAUUUGGUCUCUAAUUUGUCUUGUUGUGGAUCACAUUAAAUGGAAUGAAAUAAUGGGGCCAACAGAGGGCUGCCUUGCUUCUAGUCCAUAGGAAACUUUGCGACAAGCAUUUCACCACCCGCAAUAACAUCUGCUAAGCACGUGGUGUAUGCGUUUGUAUUUAUUAUGGCUCCCCAUUAAAAUGAAGGCAGUUUAUACAAUUAAAACUUUACAUUUACAAAACACUGUGGCCUCAGGCCUCUACUCCGCCACAUAUCUACAGUUCUAAAUCCUUAUGUAUUGUGUGUGCCAAUGUGUGUGCUGCUUCACAGUCCCCGCUGUUCCAUAAGGUGUUUAUGUUUUUAAAAUAUAAUUUUACUGCUUGCAUCAGUUAGUUGAUGUGGAAUAGAGUUCCAUGUAGUCAUGGCUCUAUGUAGUACUGUGUCUGUUCUGGACUUGGGGACUGAAGAUACCUUUUGUGGCAUGUCUUGUAGGGUAUGCAUGGGUGUCCCGAGCUGUGUGCCAGUAGUUAAGACAGACAGCUCGGUGCAUUCAACAAAAAAAGUUGUGAUGAAGUCACUCUCCUCCACUUGUAGAAUAUGUGACCAAUACAUUUAACUUGGAUUAGAUCAUUGCUUUGUGUAGAGCAUCCUUAAUGUACAAAGCACAAACACUUGCAAUAAAAGUUGUUGUUCAACUUGACCCAUCACCAACUUAUUCUACAGAACGCACUAGCCACAAAAAGAAAAACACCACCACUUCAAAUGAAAUAUGUACAAAUGGAACAUGUGGACAGGCCUUGUCUGGCUUACAGUUAUACAAUUAAACAAGUUAGUGUGAGCAAAGUUAUAACGUCACACAAUUACUGUAUCUUAUGCCACCAAAACAGACAUAUGAAGCUACAC